rnacentral:rRNA from 1 species
GAUGAACGCUGGCGGCGUGCCUAAUACAUGCAAGUCGAGCGCAGCGGGGACGGUUGAGUAACGAGUAGAUAACCUCGUUUAACACUGGGAUAACUGCGGGUAACCGUAGCUAAACCGGAUAUUUAUGUAUGGAUCAUCGCUGCAUCAGCGCGUUGUUAAGGAAACGGGUUACAAAGGCAACGAUGCAUAGCCGACCUGAGAGGGUGAUCGGCCACACUGGAACUGAGACACGGCCCAGACUCCUACGGGAGGCAGCAGUAGGGAAUCUUCCGCAAUGGGCGAAAGCCUGACGGAGCAACGCCGCGUGAGUGAUGAAGGUCUUCGGAUCGUAAAACUCUGUUAUUAGGGAAGCGGUACCUAAUCAGAAAGCCACGGCUAACUACGUGCCAGCAGCCGCGGUAAUAC